rnacentral:rRNA from 1 species
GUACACUCCUACGGGAGGCAGCAGUGGGGAAUUUUGGACAAUGGGCGAAAGCCUGAUCCAGCAAUGCCGCGUGUGUGAAGAAGGCCUUCGGGUUGUAAAGCACUUUUGUCCGGAAAGAAAUCCUUGGCUCUAAUACAGUCGGGGGAUGACGGUACCGGAAGAAUAAGCACCGGCUAACUACGUGCCAGCAGCCGCGGUAAUACGUAGGGUGCGAGCGUUAAUCGGAAUUACUGGGCGUAAAGCGUGCGCAGGCGGUUUGCUAAGACCGAUGUGAAAUCCCCGGGCUCAACCUGGGAACUGCAUUGGUGACUGGCAGGCUAGAGUAUGGCAGAGGGGGGUAGAAUUCCACGUGUAGCAGUGAAAUGCGUAGAGAUGUGGAGGAAUACCGAUGGCGAAGGCAGCCCCCUGGGCCAAUACUGACGCUCAUGCACGAAAGCGUGGGGAGCAAACAGGAUUAGAUACCCUUGUAGUCCCAU